UUUAGCUGGUUUCGAAAUUUUUAAGGAAAAAUGACCAAAAUGCCCCUGUGAGAUAGAAAUCAUUUUUUUUUAUUGAUUUAAGUUGAAAAUAGCUUAAAAUCUUUUAGAACAUGAUAUUUGGCAACGGUUACUCACAAGGGAAAUGAGAAACUGAUAUUAAAGCCUUGGGGGGUUUCGAUUGGCAUUCCGGGUAAUGAAUAUCUAUCGGGACAUCGCGACGAUUGUCACGGGCUCAAUGGGAGUUUCGGGUUGUGACACAUCAUCAUGCAUACCAUCCCUCCACACUCAGCUCAUGUGCACUCCCUACUCGCACAUGGCCAAGUUAUCACUAGCUCAUGUGCACUCUCACACCGUACAUAGUUGGGUCAUCAUCAGCUCAUGUGCACUCCCACACGCACAUAGUCGGGUCAUCAUUAUUACAAAAAAAGGAACAUCCAAUGCAUAAUGUACAUAUUCAUAUAAUGUGAUAAUGUAUGAACCAUUUAUAUGGCACAUUUUCACAAGAUAGAAACAUUUCACCGAAGGCUUGUUCCCCAGGUACAUUUUUAAAGCAAAAACAAAUGAACUUUCAAAUGAUUCAUUUCAACAUGUAGGCACUUCCCAAAACAUUUGAAAUGCAAGUUCCCUCACCGGUAGUUGUUAAAUCUUAACCCAACUCCAACUUCCUUUAAUGGUCCAAAUGGGGCGAUGGGGCUUCGUUGGAACCUAUCAUCACAUUAGCAUCACAAUUAACUCAAUUCACAUAAUUAUAAAUUCUAAAAGCUAUCUCCUAACUAGCUUCCAAUUGCCAUUAAAUGGCUAUCUAUUUUCACCAUCCUAGCCACUCUAAAAUGAAUAAACAACCUCAACUACAAAACACUCACAAGUCUCAUCACUAGCCAUUCUCAAUGCAUAAAAAUCUACUCUAAUUCAUUACUCACCUUGGUAGCUUUGUAAUUGAACUUCUUUCCAAAAAUUUCAAGCUAUUAUAAAAGCUCCCUUUUUCUCUCUCUAAAACACCUAGUUAGUGAGAGUAAGUAUGGAAGUAAGACUUUUCAAGGGUUUUAAAGUGAGAGAGUGAAAGAGCACAAAAGAUUCUAUGAAAAGGUGCAUAAAAGCAUGAAAAUUGGAGCUAACUUCAGAGAAGUUAUGAAGGUUUCAAACAAGCUUCCAUAGAGGAUAAAAGAAACGUGAGAUGGGAGGAAGAAGAAGAAAAAGCUGCUAGAGAGAUGAAAAAGUUGCUGAAAGAAUGAUAUUUAUAGCCAAAGCUUAUCCAAACUCCACUAAAAUUACGAAAAUGCCCUUAACAAGUUAGCUUUGUCUCCCUCCAAUCCUUUGCGCAAUCUUUUUACUCCUUUGACAGUAAGACAAAGUCCAUAAUAGUCUAGAAAUACUCGAGUUCACAAAAACUUAAAAAUUUUAACUCGAGGUGAAAAAUGACCAUUUUGUCCCUACCUCAAAAAUCAUCAUUAUUUCUAUUUCCUUUGUCAUUUUAUCCUUAUUUUCAUUAUUCAUUUAUACCUUAGGCCUACUUAGGCCUUAAUAUUGUUUGAAACCUACUUCUAGAGCUAACUAAGAAAAAUGACAAAAAUACCCCCAGUCUGUUUUAUCACGUCUACUUUUAAUUACGUGUCUAUAGAGGUCGAGGUCUCACAUUCUCCCCCACUAAAAGAAAUUUGAUCCCCGAAUUUAAAUUCAACUAUAAGGUAACGUACCUCUAUGUAUUAAAGAGGUGCGUAUAUUUUGCUCGCAUCUCUUCCUCGGCUUCCCACGUUACUUCUUCACUAGUGUGGUUUCGCCAUAACACUUUCACUGAGGCUACUUCUUUUGAACGGAGCUUUUUGACUUGCCUAUCAAGGAUGGCCACCGGUUGUUCUUCAUAGGUCAAAUCAUCUUUCAACUAAAUCGUUUCAUAUCGUAUUACAUGCGACGGAUCCGGGUUAUACUUCCUAAGCAUCGACACAUGAAAUACGAGGUGAAUAUUCGAAAGGUCCGGUGGUAGUGCCAAACGAUAUGCUAUUGCUCCAACCCUUUCUAAGAUCUCGAAGGGUCCUAUAGACUGAGGGCUCAAUUUUCCUUUCUUACCAAACCACAUUACCCCUUUUGUUGGUGAGACCUUAAAAAAUACAUGAUCCCCCACUUGAAACUCCAAGUUCCUUUGUCUGUUAUCAGCAUAUGACUUCUAUCUACUUUGUGCUGGUAACAUCCUUUGACAAAUUAUGUGUAUUUUCUUGGUGGCAUCCUCCACCAACUCAGGCCCCAAGAGUUUCCUUUCUCCCACCUCCGUCCAUAUAAUGCUUCAAAUGGUGCCAUUUGGAUGCUAGCUUGGAAAUUGUUGUUGUAGGCAAACUCCACCAAGGGUAGAUAUCGAUCCCACUUGACCCCAAGGUUUAUUACAUAGGCCCUCAACAUAUCUUCCAAUGUUUGUAUCAUCCGUUCAGACUAUCCAUCAUUCUAAGGGUGGAAAGCCGUGCUGAAAUCCAACUUAGUGCCUAAAGCUUCUUGCAACUUUUCCCAUAACCUACUAGUGAACUAUGCCCCCCUGUCGGAUACUAUAGAAAUAGGAAUGCCAUGCAGUCAUAUUAUCUUGUCUACAUAAAGUUAGGCGUAGUAGGCCACCCCGUAUGUAGUUUUAACCGAAAGAAAGUGAGCUGAUUUCGUUAACCGAUCUACUAUGGCUUAGAUCAAGUCGUAGGCCCACUAGUCCGAGGCAAACCCGUUACAAAGUCCAUUGUAAUAUGCUCCCACUUCCAUUCGGGCACUGGUAAUGGCUAUAGUAGCCCUGCAGGCCUUCAAUGCUCGACCUUAACCUACUGACAAACUAGGCACUUGGAGAUGAACUCAGCUACAUCUUUCUUAAGUCCUUCCCACCAACAUACCUCUUUCAAAUUUUGAUAUAUCUUUGUAGCCCCUGGAUGUACCACAUAGGCUACCAUGUGCGCUUCCUCCAAUAGUUCUCUUCUCAAUCCAUCACUAUCAAGCACAUAAAAUCUGGUUCCAUACCUCAAUACUCCAUAUGUGCCUUUAGUAAACAUCUUUCCUUUCUUUCUUUGAGGAUCCUCAAAGGCCUUAGCUAUGAACUCAUCUUUACUUUGUGCUUAUUUAAUCCGGUCCAUUAAGAUAAGCCUCACUCUAAAAUGUGCUAGCAAUGCAUUUGCCUCUGAAACUUCUAAAUGCACACCCAUGUCUCCCAAACUAUACAUCUCCCUAAUCAAGGAUCUUCUAUCUGUGGAGAUAUAUGCCACGCUUCCUAUCGAUUUUUGACUCAAGGCAUUCGCCACUACAUUUUCCUUACUGGAAUGGUAGAGAAUAGUACAAUCAUAAUCCUUUAGUAACUCCAUCCACCUACGUUGUCGCAAGUUAAGAUCCCUCUGCUGAAAUAUAUACUUUAAGCUUUUGUGUUCCGUAUAUAUAUCGCAAGUCUCACCAUACAACUAAUGUCUCCAAAUCUUUAAGGCAAACACGAUUACUGCCAUCUCCAAAUUGUGUGCGGGGUAAUUCUGCUCAUGCCUUUUAAGUUGCCUUGAUGCAUACGCAAUCACCUUCUCAUGUUGCAUUAAAACACACCCUAAACCAACCUUUGAUGCAUCACAGAAUACCGUAUAACCCCCUAUGCCUUGCGGUAGGCUUAAUACUAAAGCUAUGGUGAGACAUGCCUUAAGCUUCUCAAAGCUAUCCUCACAAGCAUCUGACCAUUCAAAUUUUGUAUAUUUACAAGUCAGCUUAGUUAAAGGGGUGACUAUUUUAGAGAAGUCCUUCACAAAACGACGAUAAUAGCCAGGCAAACCCAAAAAGCUUCUAAUCUCCAUAACUGAUGUUGGCCUUGGCCACUUUUCUACGACCUCAACUUUAUUUGGAUCGACUUGUACCCCAUCGUUGGAUACCACAUGUCCAAAGAAUGGAACGCUUUCGAGCCAGAACUCACACUUGGAGAACUUGGCAUACAAUCAAUGUUUUCUUAGAGUUUGGAGCACUAUCUUAAGAUGCUGCUCGUGCUCCUCCCUACUCCUCAAGUAGAUCAAGAUGUCAUCAAUAAACACCACCACGAACUUGUCCAAAUAGGGCUUGAACACUCCAUUCAUUAAAUUCAUAAAGGCCACAAGGGCAUUUGUCAGCUUAAAUGACAUCACUAAGAACUCAUAGUGCCUAUAUCUUGAUCGAAAUGCGGUCUUUGGUAUAUCUUCAUUUCAGAUCCUCAACUGAUGGUACCCAGAUCGUAGAUCUAUCUUAAAGAAGCAUUGUGCUCCUUGUAGUUGAUCAAAUAAAUCAUUUAUUCUUGAAAAGGGGUACUUAUUCUUCACCGUUACCUUAUUAAGUUAUCGGUAGUCAAUGCACAUUCUAAGCGACCCAUCUUUCUUCUUUACAAAUAGCAUUGGUGCUCCCUAUGGUGAGACAUUAGGAUGGAUGAAGCCUUUAUCCAACAAAUCUUCUAACUGAUCCUUAAGCUCUUUGAGCUCUGUAGGUGCCAUUCUAUAUAGGGGUAUGGAUAUAGGUCUAGUGUCGGGAAUCAAAUCUAUGCAAAAUUCAAUCUCUCGCUUGGGAGGCAAACCUGGUAAUUCCUCGAGAAAUACAUCCACGAACUCAUUCACUAUCGACACAUGGCUUAUGUCUCUGACCUUCGCUUGGGUAUCCCUCACAACAGCCAAGUAACCUUGACAACCCUAUCUUAAUAGCCUCCUGGUAGACAUGUCUGUUAUCAAAUUAGUUAGAGCAUUGCUUCUAUCCCCUUGCAUACUAAAUGAUGGCUCAUCCGGGAAAUCAAAUUUAACCAAUUUAUGAUAACAAUCCACACUGACAUAGCAGGGUGAUAGCCAAUCCAUUUUCAAGAUCACAUCAAAGUCUAAGGUGUUUAACACCACUAGAUUCACCAAAGUGUUUUUGUCCUUGACUCGAACUACACAGGACUCAUAUUCCCAUUUGGCCAUAAAUACCUCCUUUAAAGGAGUAGACACCACUAAUUGCUCUUCUCUCUUAACACGAUCUUUACCCAAACGAGAUGCAAAGCAUGGAGAAAUAAAAGAGUCGGUAGCACCAGGAUCAAACAAUACCCAAGCAUUCAUAUUACAAACUGAGAGAAUACCUGAUACCCCUGUGUUGGAUGUCUGGGCCUCUUGUUGUGUUAAAGCAAACACACUUGCUAAACCCCUACCGACGAAACUCUAAAGUCCAAACCCAGAAGGCAUGCCUUGAGAGGAAGUAACAGCACCUCUACCUCUCGAUCCAUUAGCCUCUCGAUUAGAUGAAGAGACUACUGAAGGAGCAGACGAGGCUGGUUAGGAGAAAUCGCGACUAGAACCUUAGGAUUGAUGAGCCAUCGAGCAAUUCCUCUUAAUAUGUCCAAGUUGACCACACAAGAAACAAACUCCCAUAGCACGGAGGCAUCUUCCUCUUUGCCAUCCCUCACAAGUAUAGCAACGACGGAUAACUUGACUUCCCUGCUUUGAAUCUUGAUCACUCCCAACACUGAAGGUUCUUUGUCCCGACCCAAUACUAGCACUAGGCAAGUCACUCCCUUGUUGGGGUAAUCGUGAGUCCCUCUAUGGGCCCUGAAGGCCAGAGGAUGAAAUACUACCACUAAAGUCUCUACGACCCUGAUAGCCCUCUGUCUUGGCCCUCUUUGCACUAUCCCUAGCAGCCUUAGUCCCAUUGGUCCUCAUCUCAAUCCGCUAGGUGCAAUCCACUACUGCGAAAUAGGUAUUGAAAUCUCGGGAUGCCAUAGCCUUAAAUAAUGGCUCCACUAGCCCAUCCACAAAUCUCUGAAUCUUUAUCUCCUCAAUAGAAACUAGGCAGGGCGCAUACCGAGCCAAAUGUGUGAAUUUUAUGUUGUAUUUUGACACCGUCAUACUCGAUGUCUGUACUAAAGCCUCAAACUCCCUAGCUCUAGCAUUACGUACACUGAGUGGUAAGAAUCGAUCUAAGAAGGCUGUACUACUCCUUCUAAGUCAACAGCAUUGCAUCUGCCGGCCUACCUCUACGCAAGGAGCCAUACCACUCUUGUGCCACGUCCUCUAAUCGAAAGGCGGUUAGCUCAACUGAUCUAGUACUAGAAUAUCCAAGGCCUCACAAAUUUUCUCCAUCUUAUCUAAGAAAAUCUAGGGCUUCUCCGACGUAUCAGACCUUGAAAAUGACGGAUGCUGAAGCUUCAAAAAAUCUAGAAUAGAAAUCUCUAAAUGACCCCUCUCAACCUCAAGAUGUUGGCAAUCGACUUGCCCUUGGGAGCUAGGGGAUUCUUGUAGUACAAAUCUCCCCUCCACUAUCCUCUGUAUAUCAUCCAUACGAGUUGCCAUCAUCUCUACAACCACGAUUAACUCCCUGUAGGCCUGCCGCCAAAUCUUCGAUGGUGUGCCCCCAGUUGGUUGUCUAUUUGCAUCGCGCAAAGACUAUCCCUCCUAUUGUCUACUCACAGGCGUAUCCGCUCUCAUCGGCCUAGUGGCCCCACCACUUCUACCUCGACCCUUAAGAGUGGAUGCCCGUGGCCUAUCUGUCAUCUCAUUAGGAACAUCUUGCUCCCCCAUCCGUCUUGAGGCAGCUCGUGUCUUAGGCGACAUUCUUACUUAGACAAGAGCAAACACCUGUUAUUAAACACAUUUUGCGAUUAUAAUCAUAUCUAAGGAAAAAGGUGGUUCAUAAGAUAAGGAAUCUAUGCAGUCCCUUGGUUGUAAAAUGUACCGCGGUUCACACUUCACAAUCGAAGUUUCCACAUAAAAACCUGACAUUCCGCUGGAUCAACAAAAAGGAAAUCCUAGGACCUAAACAACCUAGUGCUCUAAUACCAAGUUUGUCACGACCCAAAUUAUGGGCCAUGACCAGCGCAUGGGCCCAAUGGACAUAGCCCACUAAGCCCAAGCAAGCCCAUUUAUAUGACAUAUUCAUCAUUGCAUUAAAAGUUGCUAAAGUCAACAUUCAUAAUUUCAAUUCAAAAUAACACUAACCAUUGCUAUAUGAUAGUGGCAUUACUAAUAAAAAUAUAUAUAUAUAUAUAUAUAUAUUGUCUACAACAUGUAUCUUAAUAAUUUACAUCAAGUUUGUCUAUACACAACAAAAGGGAUACUCGACUUCCAACAGAGAAACCCGUGCAAAGUUGUAGCUAUUGAUUGCCAAGAUACCUACCAAGAAGAUGAAUCUACGAGAACACCUCUACCUAGUUACCGACUGGCUCCUGAUCUAAAAACAUGAAGUUGAAAACAGUGAGUAUAAACUCAGUGAGUGAACAAAGGAAGGGAACAAGCAAACGAUAAGGAAAGUUUAAAGAAAUCAUGAUGCAUUUAUUUCAAAAGCAAUGCAAUUUAAUUUAAUUCUUAAUAAAACCCCUCUUUAAACCCUUAAUUGGUUAAUCACUUGAUGAUGAGGAUCCCUACAUAACAAAGAAUUUAAAAAGUGAAAACUUUAGUAGCAUUCAAGCAAGUCAAGUGAAACGCUGCAGCGAGAAUGAACUUUUGCUGUAGCGAAAUUGGGCUCAAAUCAUUGGUUGGCCGAGGGUUUUUUACUAAACCUCUCAUUUCAAACUUAAUUAAUUAAUUCCUUGAUGUUGGAAGUCCAUAGUGAACUAUGAUAUUAAAGGAUUGAAAAAUAUGGCUGAAACCAAACAAGAUAGCAAGCAAGACAGAAGGUUUCUCGCUGCAGCAUUCAUUGCAGCAAGAAUCAGGCCAGUGUAACCCUCCAAACUUGAGAGUUUCUCGUUGUAGCGAGAAACAGAGCAAUUUUGUUAAAAGUGAUCUUGUUACAUCAAAAGCCAUUUUUCUUGCUGAAAUGAAAAGUAAUUUGGGGACAAUUAACAUUGCCAACGAACAACACAAUCACAAAUAUUUUCAUAAACUUUCUAUAACAUUUAUAUAUAUAUAUAUAUAUAUAUAUAUAUAUACAUACAUNUGUUACAUCAAAAAGCCAUUUUCUUGUUGAAAUGAAAAGCAAUUUGGGAGCAAUUAACAAUGCCAACAUACAACACAAUCACAAUUAUUUUCAUAAACUUUCUAUAACUUAUAUAUAUAUAUAUAUAUAUAUAUAUAUAUAUACAUACAUCAUCAUGCAUACCAUCCCUCCACACUCAACUCAUCUGAACUCCCUACUCGCACAUGGCCGAGUCAUCAUCAGGUCAUGUGCACUCCCGCACUGUACAUAGCUGGGUCAUGAUCAGCUCAUGUGCACUCCCACACGCACAUAGUCGGGUCAUCAUUAUCACACAAAAAGGAACAUCCAAUGCAUAAUAUACAUAUCCAUAUAAUGUGAUAACGCAUGAACCAUUUAUAUGGCACAUUUUCACAAGAUAGAAACAUUUCACCAAAGGCUUGUUUCCUAGGUACAUUUUUAAAGCAAAAACAAAUGAACUUUCAAAUGA
rnacentral:lncRNA from 1 species